AACUCAAAGGAAUUGACGGGGACCCGCACAAGCGGUGGAUGAUGUGGUUUAAUUCGACGCAACGCGAAAAACCUUUACCCUACCCUUGACAUGGCUGGAAUCCUGCAGAGAUGUGGGAGUGCUCGAAAGAGAACCAGCACACAGGUGCUGCAUGGCCGUCGUCAGCUCGUGUCGUGAGAUGUUGGGUUAAGUCCCGCAACGAGCGCAACCCUUGUCAUUAGUUGCUACGAAAGGGCACUCUAAUGAGACUGCCGGUGACAAACCGGAGGAAGGUGGGGAUGACGUCAGGUCAUCAUGGCCCUUAUGGGUAGGGCUACACACGUCAUACAAUGGCCGGUACAGAGGGUUGCCAACCCGCGAGGGGGAGCCAAUCCCAGAAAACCGGUCGUAGUCCGGAUCGCAGUCUGCAACUCGACUGCGUGAAGUCGGAAUCGCUAGUAAUCGCGGAUCAGCUUGCCGCGGUGAAUACGUUCCCGGGUCUUGUACACACCGCCCGUCACACCAUGGGAGCGGGUUCUGCCAGAAGUAGUUAGCCUAACCGCAAGGAGGGCGAUUACCACGGCAGGGUUCGUGACUGGGGUGAAGUCGUAACAAGGUAGCCGUA
rnacentral:rRNA from 1 species